rnacentral:tRNA from 1 species
AAAUUAUAGUUUAUAAAAAAUAUAAAAUUGCAAGUUUUAGGAAGAGUAAUUCUAAUUUU